UCAAACUUGGUCAUUUAGAGGAAGUAAAAGUCGUAACAAGGUUUCCGUAGGUGAACCUGCGGAAGGAUCAUUCACAAUAAGUGUUCAAUGGCACUUUAAAAUCCAUUACCCACCUUGUGUGCAAUGUAAGGAAGAGGGCCUUUUUGGCUCUCUUUCAUUAUACAUACCAAAUCUUCUCUUGUUGUCUACUUUUUGAGUAAUAAGAAACUCGAAUACAACUUUCAACAACGGAUCUCUUGGCUCUCGCAUCGAUGAAGAACGCAGC
rnacentral:misc_RNA from 1 species